rnacentral:rRNA from 1 species
UACGAAGGGGGCUAGCGUUGUUCGGAAUUACUGGGCGUAAAGCGCACGUAGGCGGCUUCUUAAGUCAGGGGUGAAAUCCUGGGGCUCAACCCCAGAACUGCCCUUGAUACUGAGGAGCUUGAGUCCGGGAGAGGUGAGUGGAACUCCGAGUGUAGAGGUGAAAUUCGUAGAUAUUCGGAAGAACACCAGUGGCGAAGGCUGCUCACUGGCCCGGUACUGACGCUGAGGUGCGAAAGCGUGGGGAGCAAACAGG